rnacentral:rRNA from 1 species
UACAGGGGGGGCAAGCGUUGUUCGGAAUUACUGGGCGUAAAGGGCUCGUAGGCGGCCAACUAAGUCCGACGUGAAAUCCCCAAGCUUAACUUGGGAACUGCGUCGGAUACUGGAUGGCUUGAAUUCGGGAGAGGGAUGCAGAAUUCCAGGUGUAGCGGUGAAAUGCGUAGAUAUCAAGAGGAACACCAGCGGCGAAGGCGGCGCUCUGGGCUGGAACUGACGCUGAGGAGCGAAAGCGUGGGGAGCGAACAGG